UUGCUUGCAGCAAGGCAAUGUUAUUGUAAUUCAUGGAUGAUAAUUGUGGAGGAAAUGAAAGAGCAGGCCAUUUGUCAUAAAAUCUUCACUCGAACAAACUUUGUCCUUUACAUGAAUUUCAAUUGUCGUAGGCUUCCCCAUGGGUUCCUCAACUAAGGUCAUCUCAUCGAGCAAAUGCUCGGCUACUACUUGGGGGGAAAGAAUGCCAACACAUACCUUAAGGAUAAGAGAAACUAACAUUUUAUGAUGGGGGUAUGUCACGUUGUCCAUAAAUAUCAUUGUACAGGAUUCAAGUGAUUUGUGCUUGAGGAACACUCAUUGAAGGCUGCAUUGGCAUGUAACUGGGUUUUUAGAUGAUUUUGAAAUUAAUGAUGAUGAUAUGCAUGCAUGCUUGCCUGAGAUGAUUUUGAUAUGAUAGUUAUUCUUAUUUCUUGACAAUAUACUAAUGAUGUUUUCUUGUUUUGAUAUUAAUAAUGAUGUAGAUGCUUAUCUUGAGUUGAAAUUCAUGUAUAGAUUUAGGGUGGAUAAUAAUAAACGGAAGGUUAGGAAUUCCUAAA